UACGGAGGGAGCUAGCGUUGUUCGGAAUUACUGGGCGUAAAGCGCACGUAGGCGGCGAUUUAAGUCAGAGGUGAAAGCCCGGAGCUCAACUCCGGAACUGCCAUUGAAACUGUUUAGCUUGAGGAUGAGAGAGGUGAGUGGAAUUCCCAGUGUAGAGGUGAAAUUCGUAGAUAUUGGGAAGAACACCGGUGGCGAAGGCGGCUCACUGGCUCAUUACUGACGCUCAGGCGCGAUAGCGUGGGGAGCAAACAGG
rnacentral:rRNA from 1 species